GUGCCUAUACAUGCAAGUCGAACGAACUCUGGUAUUGAUUGGUGCUUGCAUCAUGAUUUACAUUUGAGUGAGUGGCGAACUGGUGAGUAACACGUGGGAAACCUGCCCAGAAGCGGGGGAUAACACCUGGAAACAGAUGCUAAUACCGCAUAACAACUUGGACCGCAUGGUCCGAGCUUGAAAGAUGGCUUCGGCUAUCACUUUUGGAUGGUCCCGCGGCGUAUUAGCUAGAUGGUGGGGUAACGGCUCACCAUGGCAAUGAUACGUAGCCGACCUGAGAGGGUAAUCGGCCACAUUGGGACUGAGACACGGCCCAAACUCCUACGGGAGGCAGCAGUAGGGAAUCUUCCACAAUGGACGAAAGUCUGAUGGAGCAACGCCGCGUGAGUGAAGAAGGGUUUCGGCUCGUAAAACUCUGUUGUUAAAGAAGAACAUAUCUGAGAGUAACUGUUCAGGUAUUGACGGUAUUUAACCAGAAAGCCACGGCUAACUACGUGCCAGCAGCCGCGGUAAUACGUAGGUGGCAAGCGUUGUCCGGAUUUAUUGGGCGUAAAGCGAGCGCAGGCGGUUUUUUAAGUCUGAUGUGAAAGCCUUCGGCUCAACCGAAGAAGUGCAUCGGAAACUGGGAAACUUGAGUGCAGAAGAGGACAGUGGAACUCCAUGUGUAGCGGUGAAAUGCGUAGAUAUAUGGAAGAACACCAGUGGCGAAGGCGGCUGUCUGGUCUGUAACUGACGCUGAGGCUCGAAAGUAUGGGUAGCAAACAGGAUUAGAUACCCUGGUAGUCCAUACCGUAAACGAUGAAUGCUAAGUGUUGGAGGGUUUCCGCCCUUCAGUGCUGCAGCUAACGCAUUAAGCAUUCCGCCUGGGGAGUACGGCCGCAAGGCUGAAACUCAAAGGAAUUGACGGGGGCCCGCACAAGCGGUGGAGCAUGUGGUUUAAUUCGAAGCUACGCGAAGAACCUUACCAGGUCUUGACAUACUAUGCAAAUCUAAGAGAUUAGACGUUCCCUUCGGGGACAUGGAUACAGGUGGUGCAUGGUUGUCGUCAGCUCGUGUCGUGAGAUGUUGGGUUAAGUCCCGCAACGAGCGCAACCCUUAUUAUCAGUUGCCAGCAUUAAGUUGGGCACUCUGGUGAGACUGCCGGUGACAAACCGGAGGAAGGUGGGGAUGACGUCAAAUCAUCAUGCCCCUUAUGACCUGGGCUACACACGUGCUACAAUGGAUGGUACAACGAGUUGCGAACUCGCGAGAGUAAGCUAAUCUCUUAAAGCCAUUCUCAGUUCGGAUUGUAGGCUGCAACUCGCCUACAUGAAGUCGGAAUCGCUAGUAAUCGCGGAUCAGCAUGCCGCGGUGAAUACGUUCCCGGGCCUUGUACACACCGCCCGUCACACCAUGAGAGUUUGUAACACCCA
rnacentral:rRNA from 2 species